rnacentral:rRNA from 1 species
AUUGAACGCUGGCGGCAGGCCUAACACAUGCAAGUCGAGCGAGCGGCGGACGGGUGAGUAAUGUAUGGGGAACUGCCCGAUAGAGGGGGAUAACUACUGGAAACGGUAGCUAAUACCGCAUACUAUCAGAUGAGCCCAUAUGGGAUUAGCUAGUAGGUGGGGUAAUGGCUCACCUAGGCGACGAUCCCUAGCUGGUCUGAGAGGAUGACCAGCCACACUGGGACUGAGACACGGCCCAGACUCCGACGGGAGGCAGCAGUGGGGAAUAUUGCACAAUGGGCGCAAGCCUGAUGCAGCCAUGCCGCGUGUAUGAAGAAGGCCUUCGGGUUGUAAAGCACUUUCAGCGGGGAGGCGUUACCGGCAGAAGAAGCACCGGCUAACUCCGUGCCAGCCGCCGCGGUAAUAC